rnacentral:rRNA from 1 species
CUACGGGGGGCUCCAGUGGGGAAUAUUGGACAAUGGGGGAAACCCUGAUCCAGCAAUGCCGCGUGUGUGAAGAAGGCCUGCGGGUUGUAAAGCACUUUCGGUUGGGAGGACUGCUUCUAGCACUAAUAUUGUUGGAAGUUGACGUUACCUUCAGAAGAAGCACCGGCUAACUCCGUGCCAGCAGCCGCGGUAAUACGGAGGGUGCAAGCGUUAAUCGGAAUUACUGGGCGUAAAGCGCGCGUAGGCGGCUAGAUCAGUCGGGUGUGAAAGCCCCGGGCUUAACCUGGGAACUGCAUCCGAACUGUCUAGCUUGAGUACAGGAGAGGAGAGUGGAAUUCCACAUGUAGCGGUGAAAUGCGUAGAUAUGUGGAGGAACACCAAUGGCGAAGGCAGCUCUCUGGCCUGAUACUGACGCUGAGGUGCGAAAGCGCGGGGAGCAAACAGGAUUAGAUACCCCAGUAGUC